AUGAACGCUGGCGGCGUGCCUAAUACCUGCAAGUCGCGCGAACGGACGAGAAGCUUGCUUCUCUGAUGUUAGCGGCGGACGGGUGAGUAACACGUGGAUAACCUACCUAUAAGACUGGGAUAACUUCGGGAAACCGGAGCUAAUACCGGAUGAUAUUUUGAACCGCAUGGUUCAAAAGUGAAAGACGGUCUUGCUGUCACUUAUAGAUGGAUCCGCGCUGCAUUAGCUAGUUGGUAAGGUAACGGCUUACCAAGGCAACGAUGCAUAGCCGACCUGAGAGGGUGAUCGGCCACACUGGAACUGAGACACGGUCCAGACUCCUACGGGAGGCAGCAGUAGGGAAUCUUCCGCAAUGGGCGAAAGCCUGACGGAGCAACGCCGCGUGAGUGAUGAAGGUCUUCGGAUCGUAAAACUCUGUUAUUAGGGAAGAACAUAUGUGUAAGUAACUGUGCACAUCUUGACGGUACCUAAUCAGAAAGCCACGGCUAACUACGUG
rnacentral:rRNA from 1 species